UUAAAUUAUUCCAAAUCUGAUGAAGACUCAUCUACAUCUUGGAUGACCUGAGGAGGAGUACAUUUUCAACAAAUUUUCAGUUAUUAUUCCUUUAAAACAAGAAAGUGUGCACUAGGCUUUAGCCAGCGACUCUUUCGGUGUCUUUUCUCCUCCGUGGUCAUUACAGCAGCGGCUGCAGUGCAGGGUAGGCGUCUUUUUUCCCAGGAGCAUCUCGCUAUACAGCAAGGUCACAGCAAGAGCAGCAAGAGAUGCACAACGAGAGAAAGAGAUGGAGAACUGCUCUAAAGGGCAGCUGGGAACUCAAUGGACCCGCCAAAGGCCAGGAGAGAAGGAAACAGAGCGAAUGAAGCCAAGAAUGGAGGAGAGAACGGCCUACCGGGGGUCGUGUUCAGCCGGAGCAGCGGGGCGGUGAAUGGAUGGGCGCCCGUCGAGAUGGAGGGGCUGUCGAUUAGAUUUCUCACAGCUCAGGUUUAAGCAGUGAGGCUUCUCCCGUCUUUCGCCAAAAAAACUCACGGAAACAAAACCCCUGAUGUUUUGAGUGAAAUCGGCCCAGCUGAAUACGUCACGUGAGCCGUCCAUCUUGCAAGGUUUUGCAGCCGUUCACUCGGGGAUCCACUAAAGCUAACGGGAACGAAGCCAAGGGUUAAAGUUCAUUUGCGACGAGAGCUUUGCAGAUCCUCCAGAGAAAGCUGCCCUGUCUGAAGGGGUCGACGCCAGGUACCCAAAUGACAGAGGUGAGGAUUAAUAUUCAUGCCCAUGACCCGGUUAAUUGAGGAAGACUGGAGAUCUGAGAUUCUGGCCUGACUGACGGUCAGCCGCUGAUAGAGAAUUAAUCAUGAAAAACGACAGCCUAGUGUUUUUGGGCACAGGUAGGAAAUGAGUUGGUGUUAAUUAGGCCCCUGAGCUCCUCGAAAUCUGUAAUGAGCUUUCUGAGCACGCCAGCACUCUUCCCAGCAUGCAUCUGGGUCUCCUAUUCACUUAGUUUCCAGACCUAGUCGGCUGCCUUGCUGCCCAAAUUCUGAGGCAGCAUCCUAAA